GAUGAACGCUGGCGGCGUGCUUAACACAUGCAAGUCGAACGGAGUGCCUUUGAAAGAGGAUUCGUCCAAUUGAUAAGGUUACUUAGUGGCGGACGGGUGAGUAACGCGUGAGGAACCUGCCUUGGAGUGGGGAAUAACACAGUGAAAAUUGUGCUAAUACCGCAUAAUCCCUGCGGGGGAAAGAUUUAUCGCUUUAGGAAUGGCCCAUGGCAGAUUAGGCAGUUGGUGGGGUAACGGCUCACCAAACCGACGAUCUGUAGCUGGUCUGGGAGGACGAUCGGCCACACUGGAACUGAGACACGGUCCAG
rnacentral:rRNA from 1 species